UUUAGCAUAAGCCUAAAGUAUGGAAAAGAGUUCAGAUUGAUAAUAUAUACUCGAACAACAAGCUUUUUUUCAGUUUGUAAAUCUACAAAAUGUAUACAAACAAUUGAUAAACGUAAUAAAUUAAGCAUGGCAACACAUCUGUUUAUAUCAUCUAUACAACUAUGAUGGAAUUUUUGGAAGGUGGGUAUAUAUAAAGGCCCCAUAUAUGCUUUAUUCUCUGUGAUUUAAAUGUAAAAGGCUGAACAGUAAAACCUGUCUAUUAUUAUUAAGGCCAUCAAGGGACAACAGAACAUGUGGCCACUGUUCAAAGGUGACCUUUUACCGAUUCUACAACACAUUUCUUCCUUACGGAAGGCGAUAAAGUGACAACUACCGGGACUGACUGUAAGUGAAAUCACAUUGAUGAAAAAUAAAUUGUGAAAUUGUAGAUAGAAUAGAUUGUGUUCUUAAAUGAGAAUCAGUUAUCUCUAUAGGUCAAGAGUAAAUGUGUUAAAUAAAAUAUUGAGGGCAGCAGACUGUUUUUCGGGUACAGAGCCAUUUGAUACACAGAGUUUGGCCAGCUUGGUAUCAGUUGGUCACUCACAACAUGGCUAUGCUGUUGGUUUGUGCCUGCCCAACAAUUUAAUAUUUGUUGCCAUUACUGUGCCUUGUUGGCCAACCUCUCUUUAAUCGAUGGCACUGUUCAAUGUGGUGGGGGAUAUUCAAAUAAGAAUAAUGCUGUUUUUCACAAGAAGAGAUGGGACAGAGUUAGAGAGAGAGAGAGAGAGAAAGAGAAAGAGAGA